rnacentral:rRNA from 1 species
CGGGACACGUGGUAUCCUGUCUGAAUAUGGGGGGACCAUCCUCCAAGGCUAAAUACUCCUGACUGACCGAUAGUGAACCAGUACCGUGAGGGAAAGGCGAAAAGAACCCCGGCGAGGGGAGUGAAAAAGAACCUGAAACCGUGUACGUACAAGCAGUGGGAGCACGCUUAGGCGUGUGACUGCGUACCUUUUGUAUAAUGGGUCAGCGACUUAUAUUCUGUAGCAAGGUUAACCGAAUAGGGGAGCCGAAGGGAAACCGAGUCUUAACUGGGCGUUAAGUUGCAGGGUAUAGACCCGAAACCCGGUGAUCUAGCCAUGGGCAGGUUGAAGGUUGGGUAACACUAACUGGAGGACCGAACCGACUAAUGUUGAAAAAUUAGCGGAUGACUUGUGGCUGGGGGUGAAAGGCCAAUCAAACCGGGAGAUAGCUGGUUCUCCCCGAAAGCUAUUUAGGUAGCGCCUCGUGAAUUCAUCUCCGGGGGUAGAGCACUGUUUCGGCAAGGGGGUCAUCCCGACUUACCAACCCGAUGCAAACUGCGAAUACCGGAGAAUGUUAUCACGGGAGACACACGGCGGGUGCUAACGUCCGUCGUGAAGAGGGAAACAACCCAGACCGCCAGCUAAGGUCCCAAAGUCAUGGUUAAGUGGGAAACGAUGUGGGAAGGCCCAGACAGCCAGGAUGUUGGCUUAGAAGCAGCCAUCAUUUAAAGAAAGCGUAAUAGCUCACUGGUCGAGUCGGCCUGCGCGGAAGAUGUAACGGGGCUAAACCAUGCACCGAAGCUGCGGCAGCGACGCUGAUGCGUUGUUGGGUAGGGGAGCGUUCUGUAAGCCUGUGAAGGUGUGCUGUGAGGCAUGCUGGAGGUAUCAGAAGUGCGAAUGCUGACAUAAGUAACGAUAAAGCGGGUGAAAAGCCCGCUCGCCGGAAGACCAAGGGUUCCUGUCCAACGUUAAUCGGGGCAGGGUGAGUCGACCCCUAAGGCGAGGCCGAAAGGCGUAGUCGAUGGGAAACAGGUUAAUAUUCCUGUACUUGGUGUUACUGCGAAGGGGGGACGGAGAAGGCUAUGUUGGCCGGGCGACGGUUGUCCCGGUUUAAGCGUGUAGGCUGGUUUUCCAGGCAAAUCCGGAAAAUCAAGGCUGAGGCGUGAUGACGAGGCACUACGGUGCUGAAGCAACAAAUGCCCUGCUUCCAGGAAAAGCCUCUAAGCAUCAGGUAACAUCAAAUCGUACCCCAAACCGACACAGGUGGUCAGGUAGAGAAUACCAAGGCGCUUGAGAGAACUCGGGUGAAGGAACUAGGCAAAAUGGUGCCGUAACUUCGGGAGAAGGCACGCUGAUAUGUAGGUGAAGCGACUUGCUCGUGGAGCUGAAAUCAGUCGAAGAUACCAGCUGGCUGCAACUGUUUAUUAAAAACACAGCACUGUGCAAACACGAAAGUGGACGUAUACGGUGUGACGCCUGCCCGGUGCCGGAAGGUUAAUUGAUGGGGUCAGCGCAAGCGAAGCUCUUGAUCGAAGCCCCGGUAAACGGCGGCCGUAACUAUAACGGUCCUAAGGUAGCGAAAUUCCUUGUCGGGUAAGUUCCGACCUGCACGAAUGGCGUAAUGAUGGCCAGGCUGUCUCCACCCGAGACUCAGUGAAAUUGAACUCGCUGUGAAGAUGCAGUGUACCCGCGGCAAGACGGAAAGACCCCGUGAACCUUUACUAUAGCUUGACACUGAACAUUGAGCCUUGAUGUGUAGGAUAGGUGG